GGUGGAAUUAUUGUAAUCAAAAGGAGAGACUUUUAGAUUUCUUCAAAACAAUCAAACUUUAUUAUUUCAUUACUGCAGUAACGGAGCUGGUUGGUAAUGGAGCUGGUUUGAGCCACAGCAUUUUAUAGCAAAGUCCAUCCUCCUUCAGUCUACAUGACACACAGAACAGAUCUAUGGAAUGAGUCACAAGGUUAAGAUUUGUAUGAAAGAUACUUAGAAUUCACAUCAGAUAGUAUCUGCUGUUAAACAGUUCUCAUUGUGUAGAGACCCGUGUCUGGCCCCCCAACUCCAUACUGGAGCCAUCUCCCCCUGGUACCCCAGUACAGAAACAUUAACUCAUGCUCUGGAAUGCCGUGUCACCCAAAGACAUCUUACAUUUUCCAGAGGCCCAUCCUCAGUAGAACAAACACAGAUGAGCAUUCUAACAACGUCUUAUUCUGUUGCAUAAAACAACCAUUUGAUGCAAUAACAGCAUUAUAACAAUCUUGUCAUUUCCACCAUAGGGGCCCCCUUGCUGGUCUUCUCUAUGAUACAUGUUCGGCUGUAAACAUGACAUCUCUUGAACAACUGCAGCAAGCAAUCUUAUGAGGUCCCUGCAUCAGUUCACGACCAGAGGAUCAGUCUGGCAUCCAACUGUGUACUUUGUCUCACAGAAAAACUGGGUCAACGCUUGCCAUCAUCCCUCAAUUAUAAACAUAGUUCGAGGAAUAAUGUAAUCUCAUUUGGGGACAAAUUCUAUGCUUUACAGAUGUAGACCGACUGGCUCCAGAUUAGAUUAGAUUCAGGCCGUUGACGCCGUUUGACUAUGCAACCAACUGUGACAUGUUUUGCUUUGCCCCUGGGUUGGUUUGAAUUUGUUGCUGCUAGAUAGUACACUGUUGUAGUCAGCCAUGAGUUAGCCUGUUCCGCCAUAGCUGCAUCCAAUAUUUAUUUGUGCCCUAAAUCUGUUGAAUCUUGGAGGCUAUAAUGUAUCAGAAAGGCAAUCAAAUUAACCGUUUACCUUUGAUGAUCUUCGGAUGUUUUCACUCGCGAGACCCCCAGUUACACAACAAAUGUUCCUUUUAUUUUUAUACCCAAAAUACCUCUGUUUGUUUGUCACGUUAUGUUCAGAAAUCCACAGGAAAGAUCCACAGGAAAUUCCAAAUAGUCUUCAUAAUGUCCACAGAAACAUGUCAAACAUUUUUUAUAAUCAUUCCUCAAGUUGUUUUUAAAAUAUAUAUUCUAUAAUAUUUCAACCGAGUGUGUAGGUUUUUCAAUAACAGCGGGAGGAACAAUGGCGGCUUUACUCUGUAGCGCAAAAACUCACUCUGAGAGCCCCCACCUAUCCACUUACACAAUGUGAUCUUUCACGCUCAUUUUUCAAAAUAAAAGCCUGAAACUAUGUCUAAAGACUGUUGACACCUUAGGGAAGCCAGAGAAAAUGAAAUCUGGUUGAUAUCCCUUUAAAUGGAAGAUAGACAUGCGUAGGAACAGAAGGGUUUCAAAAUAAGAGGCACUUCCUUGAUUGGAUUUUCCUCCGGGUUUCGCCUGCAAUAUCAGUUCUGUUAUACUCACAGACAAUAUUUUGACAGUUUUGGAAACUGUAGAGUGUUUUCUAUCCUAAUAUGUCAAUUAUAUGCAUAUUCUAGCAUCUGGUCCUGAGAAAUAGGCCAUUUACUUUGGGAACAUUAUUUUUCAAAACAUAAAAAUAGUGCCCCCUAGCUUCAAGAGGUUUAUGUUUUGUACAAUCAGUGUAUACCAUAUUAUAAAUGUAUAUAAGACAAUACAACUUCAUAAGAAUGUGCACCA
ensembl:lncRNA